rnacentral:lncRNA from 1 species
UGCUAUAAUUAGCUUCUAUAAUUAUUUUUUUGGACUAAAGCAUAUCCAUAUUAUAUGUUCAUUAUGUAUAUAUACUCAUGUCGAGUCCAAAAAUUAUAUUUUAUAUUUUAUGAUUUUUUUUAUAAUUUUUUAUGAUUUUUCAAAGAUUCAACCAAAUAAAUAAAAAAAAUAAAAAGACAAAACCUUUAUAGUAAAAAGUUUUACUAAAGCAUACCACAUUAUAUAUUCACUGUGUAGAUCUACUUAUGUGGAGUCUAAAAAAAUUAGAUUUCUUAUUUUAUAAUUUUUUAUGAUUUAAUAUCAAUUUUUAAAGAUUCAGCCAAAACAAUUAAAAAAGAAAAAUACAAAACUACCGUCACUGUAGCAAAACCACCAUUCACUAUAGCAAAACCGUCUUCAAAACUGCUCCAGAGAGUGAAGAGGGGGGUGAAUAGCCUAUUUAAAAAUUCUAAAAAACACUAGAGCAAGAGGUUAGUAAAAAAACAAAGCGAAGCUUUUUGCUCUAGCUCUAAAGGGGUGUUUGCAAGCCACCUACCCAACAAUUCUAGUUGCUAUAAUCACUAGGCACACAAGAGCUAUGUCACUACUUACACUAGAAAGCUACCUAAAGUUUCUAUACAAGUAAGUAAGCUACUCUAGUUUGCGGGAAUGUAAAAGAUAGUUUGAUCUUUAUACCGCCGCGUAGAGGGGAUGAACCAAUCAAUUAUAUGAAGUCCAAUCACCGGGAGAAAUCCAAUGAAUAAUCACAAUGGAGACAAACAAUUUUCUCCCGAGGUUCACGUGCUUGCUAGCACGCUAUGUUCCCGUUGUGUCGACCAACACUUGGUGGUUCGGUGGCUAAGAGGUGUAGCACGAACCUCAUCCUCACUAGGACACCACAAGAACCUACCCACAAGUG